UACGUAGGCAGCGAGCGUUUGUUCGGAAUUACUGGGCGUAAAGAGUGUGUAGGCGGUGCUCUAAGUUCGGUGUGAAAUCUCCUGGCUCAACUGGGAGGGUGCGCCGGAAACUGGAGUGCUUGAGCGUGGGAGAGGAAAGCGGAAUUCCUGGUGUAGCGGUGAAAUGCGUAGAUAUCAGGAGGAACACCGAUGGCGAAGGCAGAUCUCUGGGCCGUAACUGACGCUGAGGAGCGAAAAGCGUGGGGGAGCGAACAGG
rnacentral:rRNA from 1 species